rnacentral:rRNA from 1 species
ACUCAAAGGAAUUGACGGGGACCCGCACAAGCGGUGGAUUAUGUGGAUUAAUUCGAUGCAACGCGAAAAACCUUACCUACCCUUGACAUGUCCGAGAGCCUGGAGAGAUCCAGGUGUGCCCGAAAGGGAAUCGGAACACAGGUGCUGCAUGGCUGUCGUCAGCUCGUGUCGUGAGAUGUUGGGUUAAGUCCCGCAACGAGCGCAACCCUUGUCAUUAGUUGCUACAUUCAGUUGGGCACUCUAAUGAGACUGCCGGUGACAAACCGGAGGAAGGUGGGGAUGACGUCAAGUCCUCAUGGCCCUUAUGGGUAGGGCUUCACACGUAAUACAAUGGCGCGUACAGAGGGUUGCCAAGGAGCGAUCUGGAGCCAAUCCCGUAAAGCGCGUCGUAGUCCGGAUUGCAGUCUGCAACUCGACUGCAUGAAGUCGGAAUCGCUAGUAAUCGCGGAUCAGCAUGUCGCGGUGAAUACGUUCCCGGGUCUUGUACACACCGCCCGU